ensembl:lncRNA
CUUGGAUUCGACCUGGCACUCCCAAUCAGAAGCCAUCCUUUCUUAGCCCUAAUAAAAAUGUUUAUUCUGGAGAGAAACCCGUCUAUAAGAGGGUUUCGGUGAAACUUCUAGUAGAUACAAGAAAAUAUACUGAUGGGUUUAACCUGAUUGAAAACUUAAAGGAGUUGAAGUCAGAUCCUGCUGACAAAAGUAUGGAAAAUGUGUCUGUAAUUAACUGGCCUCCUUCCAAAUAACAGCAGACAGCCACUUCAGUGUGGAACGGUCAGUCUGUGGUAGUAGAAUAUACUCUUAGGUCCUAUAAGAGAAUGACAUUUGUGGUCGCACUCAUAGGACCUACGUACUGAGUGACAGAUCAUAAUGUUUUGUUGCUGUUGAAGUUUCCAUGGAACAGUGCGAGUGAAGCUGGAUUCUCCUGGGCUUUCAGUCCUCAAAAGUCUUAAUGUAGUUCCCCUCUUACUCCUAUAUAGGCUUUCCAAAGAGUUUUAGUCAUAGCCUGGAUUUAUAUAAUCCAGGACACCCUGUUAGCUGAAACAUGGAGCUUCAGAAGGGAACACAAAACAGUGAACAGACAGCCAAAGUUCAGUAUAACCACAGAAUUCGCCCUCCUCCAGCUGAGGCCUGGAAAGAGGAGAGGAGAGGAGGGGGGAGUUGACUCUGGGCCGAGGUCAACCAUGGGCUCAUGUCCUCUCCCCCAGUGCUUAGCUUAGAGUCAACUGUGGGGCUUAGGGCCAGCAUUGGACAGCCAGGUCAGGGCUGGGAUGGGGGGCUUGUAGCGCCACUGCCAGAGUCAACUGCCUGCCUCCCCUGGAGCCCUGACUAGCCACUGAUCCUGGCCUCAGACAGACUCACAGGGAACAUACCGCUGGGCCCUUUGUUGCACGUGGAUGGGGAUUCUGAAGUGCGCUGUAUCCGCAUGUAGAACUUCGUCCACUUUACCUGGUGAUCUGGUGAACGAGAUGAGUAACUCUGGAACUCUGACUCAAGUUGAAUACUGUUUUUGUUUCUUUUUCCAGAACCAAAGUUUGUAGACAUUCGUAGAACUUUCUGGGUUCUCUCUGAAUAGAUUUUUUAUGUGAAUAAGAUAUAAAUAUGUAAUGGAAAAGGAGUUCCAUAAUGAGGCACAUUGACCUACUUCUUGCUGUCGUUUUCUAUCACUGAGGGAAUGUAUUGUAGAUGGACAGAUGGCAAAUAAAGAGCAUCCUGAGUGUGACGUGGGUUUCUUGUGUUUUUCAGCACAUCCCCUGGGAAUGCCCAUGUGCAUGUGGCUUUUAUGGAGAGGCAAGUGUGCUAGAAGCAAAUCCAUAUUCAGUGUUUGCUGUGGUAAUCUCAUAGUUCUCUAUUUGAAAUUUCUCGAUGACUUGAUAAAGGAGAGGACAUGUCAAUAGGAAUUUUUUUUUUUGGCCCUAAUAAGUCACAGAAACUGAAAAAAAUGUCCAGCAGUUUGUUUCACUUAGAUUCUUUGCCCAUGUAGAUUAUGACAGAGUGUUGAGUAGAUGAGUUCCCUG